UAAACAAGUAAAAUGCUGCAACUGAAAGAUAUCCAGCUUUGAAAGACCAUGAGUUUGACCAAAGAAACUACACAGAGUGUUAACCUCCACAUAAGUCUUCUGCCCAUUCUUCCCCUUAAAGGUGAAGCCUAAUUCGUAGCCUCUGACUUUGUGAAUUUGAAACCCCAAGUGAGCAUUCUGACAUCCUGAUGUUCAAGGUUUGGGUUCCAGGGCCAGAGAAGCAAAUUUUGAUACAUCAAAUUAAUGGGUGCUCCAGAACUGAGAGCCUAAGGAACCAGAAUGCAAGAAAAGGAAUUGGAGAUCUCUCUUUGAAGACCAUGCUUCCCUAGGAAAGAACCACAAUUCUGGGUCCAGAUAUAAGAAGGGUCUCCUGGAGGAGAGAGAAAGUUGAGCCUUCCCUUGUAACAAAAACAGAAGGAAAACAAAAACAAGAACCAAACAAACCAAAGCUGAGGCUUUGAAUAGCAGUUGAAUUUGAAUC